AAUGCGGGCUCGCGUCUCCGCAAAGCGCCGCCCCUCCGGCGCGGAGGCUGGGAACUGGCGGUCUGACGCGGCGAGGUGAAAAAUCACCUCGGGGGCCCAGGUUCCCCACGAACAGCUAAUUCUCAGAUGGGGUCUUGUUAUGUUGCCCAGGCUACAUGGACUCAAGUGAACUCCCGCCUCAGCCUCCAAAAGUGUUGGGAUUACAGCUGUGAGCCAUCUUGCCGAGCCCACCAUGUACUUUAAAACAAAGGAGUGAUGCACCCACUUGAAGUCCUUUUACUCCUAACGGGGCACCUGGACUGAGGAAUGAAGAAUGCCUUAAACUACAAAAGCAUGAAGCACAAUGAAUCUCAUGCAGAAUAACUUAAAAAAAUUAUACCUUGGCCUACAGUAAAACUGAAAAAUUUCAAGGAAAGAGAUCUUAAAGUCCAUGAAAGGGAAAAAUCAGAUUACCUACGAAGGGAAAACUAAGCUGACAGCCUAAUUUUAAAGAAUGGAAGCCAGAGGAUCAAAAUAUUGAGAGAAAAUGAUCAUUGUUGAACUGUAUUUAACACAUGAAACUAUCUUUCAUAAAGUGAAAGAAACACAUUUUAAGAGACAAAAACUAAGAAUCUACCACCAACAGAUCCUCAACUGAAGGAGUGUCAGUUCAGGAAGAAGCAAAAUGAUCUCAGAAGGAAGUGUGAAAAAGACCAAAGAAGAGUCAACAGAGAAAAAGUUCUUUGUAUUUAAGAUUUUCAUUUUAUGGGUAAAAUUCUCACCUACCCAGAAUAGUACAUUCUGUACGAAUUCUGAAUAGCUUUGUGUGAACAUAUGCUUUAAUUUCCCUUGGCUUGGAGUGG